rnacentral:rRNA from 1 species
GACGAACGCUGGCGGCGUGCCUAAUACAUGCAAGUCGAACGCAUUUUCUUUCACCGUAGCUUGCUACACCGAAAGAAAAUGAGUGGCGAACGGGUGAGUAACACGUGGGUAACCUGCCCAUCAGCGGGGGAUAACACUUGGAAACAGGUGCUAAUACCGCAUAAUUCCAUUUACUGCAUGGUAGAUGGAUGAAAGGCGCUUUUGCGUCACUGAUGGAUGGACCCGCGGUGUAUUAGCUAGUUGGUGGGGUAACGGCCUACCAAGGCUGCGAUGCAUAGCCGACCUGAGAGGGUGAUCGGCCACACUGGGACUGAGACACGGCCCAGACUCCUACGGGAGGCAGCAGUAGGGAAUCUUCGGCAAUGGACGCAAGUCUGACCGAGCAACGCCGCGUGAGUGAAGAAGGGUUUCGGAUCGUAAAACUCUGUUGUUAGAAAAGAACAAGGAUGAGAGUGGAAAGUUCAUCCCUUGACGGUAUCUAACCAGAAAGCCACGGCUAACUACGUG